rnacentral:lncRNA from 1 species
GGCCACCCCCAUGGCAUAUGGAAGUUCCCAGGCUAGGGGUCUAAUCGGAAGUACAGCUGCCACUGAGCCCAGAGAUCUUCCCCAAAGCCUUCUAGAGAUGAUGGGUAUGGUUUCUCUAGGGAAACAAGGUGCUACCUCCAGGGAUCUUGAACUCCCAAGCACUGAGGGGGUGAGAGGUUGCCAGGCAGGGUCUGCAAGAUGAGCCAUCUAUAUAGAAGGGGGACGUCAGAACAAGGAAGAGGGAUGGCUAAUAGCAAUGGCCACUACCCACUGCCACAUUUCACCUCACCACAGCUCUUGAGAGAGGGCAAGUGUUAUUAUUUCCAUGUCCUGAUAAGGAAGCCAUGGCUCACAAGGGGUGAAGGGACCUGCCACAGUCACACAGUGGCCAGGGUUCUGGACAGGCCAUCUCAAUGCCCCACUCUCAACCUCUUCUCUUUAAUAAAGAGAAGGCAGAAUUGGGACCUCAGGAGUUAUUCUGGAAACUCCCACCACCACCACCAUCACUGCCAAGCUGGCCUCCAUCCCCCAUCAACCCCAGGGCACACAGCUCGAUUUCAAAGCACCAUGUAAGGCUUCACAUGGGCUUCUGCAAAUGGCAAAAUAAGUUGGUAGAUAAGUAAAUGAUGUGUUUUUUAUUAUGUAAAUCCAUGGGGAAAAAGAAUCAAUCACAUAAGUUCAUCAAAAAAGAAUCAAUCACAAAAGUUCAUCAAAAUUUUAAUGAUGGGCCACCUUGGGGCUGGCUAUUUAACCUGUGUCACAUGAAGGAAAGCAACCAAACACACUUGGGACUUGGAUCUGCUUAGCCUGGGGCCCAGACCCUCCCUCUACACCCUCUGCCUGAGGCUUUAAUCAAUCCCUUGAGGUCCUCAGGGUCACAGAUGGAGGUGCAGGAACUGCCCUGUUUCCUCUGCAGGCUAUGCUCUCCCUGCCUUCUACAAUUUGCCAUCUUUUCCCGAUGUUUCCUGUUCAGUCUCCCCCCUGCAAAUGAGAACCCCUGCCCAGCCCAGCAGCUGUAUCCUGGACCCGAACCUCACCCAGCAGGGGUACUUUCUGAAGCCCCUUGGUUCACAGAAGAAUGUCCAAAUCUGUCAUCCUCGAGUCAGCAUGUAUCUGUGGGCUUGUACCUUUGGGUUCUGGGGACUUGGCUCUUCCUGACUCUGCCCCCACAGUGUGAAUUCAGCUCAGCCUGCAGUCUAUUCUUUCUAGAAGCUUGGUUUCAAGAGUCUAAAUGUGGGAGUUCCCGUCAUGGCACAGCAGAAACAAAUCUGACUAGGAACCAUGAGGUUGCAGUUCAAUCCCUGGCCUCAUUUGUUGGGUUAAGGAUCCAGUGUUUCUGUGAGCUGUGGUGUAGUUUGCAGACUUGGCUCAGAUCAGGCGUUGCUGUGGCUGUGGCUAGGCAGCUAUAGCUCUGAUUGGACCCCUAGCCUGGGAACCUNAUGGCCCCAUGGUAGAGGAACAGCCAAGAGCUGAGAAGACAGCUCUGCUGCCUUUCAUUGCAUAACUGGAUAGCUUCCAGCUGAGAGCCCCACCAUGAAGAGCUCCCAAGUAACUUCCUAUUUAUGAGCUUGAACAUUUAAGCAGACAAAGGAUUUAAGGGCUCAAGUUCAACCAACGCAGUGCCUUGUAUGUGUGGGCAGUGGGCUGAGCACAACCAUGUGUAUUAUCUCAUUUGACUAUCACGCCAUCCCCAAUUCACACAUGAGGAAACUGAGGCUCAGACAAUUUACAUAGCUUGUGGUUGGGGGCAAGGGUCAUGCAGCUAGCAAGUGAGAUUCAAAUGCAGGCUCUGAGGCCAGUUCCAACCCUUGAUCUCCCUAUAGCCCAGCCUCCCCAGCACCACACUUUUGUGGAAACUAUUCUGAGAAAUCAAAGCAACUCUUUUCUAUCCAGAACUAUAAAUAUCCAGAGACAGGGAGACGAGAUGAGAAAACAGACAUCCUUUCCCAGGAUUUGGGAGCAAAUUCUUGCAAAGCUCCCAAAAGUAUUUUGAGUUCUGAAAGCAAAAAACUGCCAGUGCAGACAAAAAAGAAAGAAAGAGUAGAGGGCAGAACAUAAAAGGCUAUGCUGAUCUGACGCUGGAAACAUCGUGGCUGAACAAACACCCUAAAACCGGCAAAAAUCUGCUGGAUGCUGACUUUAAGCAAAGAACAGGCUAAAGGUGGGUUCGCCUGUUUAACCCUUACAACAGCCCCCUCAGUUAGGUACCAGCAUCAACUCCAUAUUACAGUUGGAGAAACUUGGACACAAAGAGGUGAAAUG